rnacentral:lncRNA from 1 species
GUAGGAUCCAAGCACUGUCCAUUUUUUAUUUGUGAGACUCGGAGCACUAGGUUCCAGAUCCAGCACGGACCCCAAUGUGGGGCUCAAACCCACGACCCUGAGAUUAAGACCUGAACUGAGAUCAAGAGUUGGAUGCUCCACUGACUGGGCUACCCAGGU